AUGCACCGCCAGCCCGACGGUACCUCACACGAACGAUGCCUCCUCGCCCUCGCCGAAGUACUUGCCAGUCGGCCCACCGUCCGGCAGCAACGCCACCUUCACCACAUUGCGCGCACCCUCCUCGGGCAUCAGGACGCCCGAGUUCAUGGUUAUGUCCGUCUUGACGUAGCCUGGAUGCGCGCAGUUGACGCGCAGCGCGGGGUGCCUCCUCGCCAGCAUCCUCAAGUAGGCGUUCAUGGCGGCCUUGGCCACCUUGUACGCCGCGAAUCCCGUGGGCCACCCGCGCGCCUCCAGCGCAUCGGCCUCGAAGUCCUUGAAGAACUUGUUCAGCAGCUCGUCCAGCCUCUCCUCCGUGAGGCUGUCGAUGUUGUUGAGCUCCUGCCUCGCCUCCUCGUUGCUGAUAAGUUGCAUAUAUAG
rnacentral:rRNA from 1 species